rnacentral:rRNA from 1 species
AUCCGGAGGGUGCAAGCGUUAUCCGGAAUCAUUGGGUUUAAAGGGUCCGUAGGCGGACUAUUAAGUCAGAGGUGAAAUCCCACAGCUCAACUGUGGAACUGCCUUUGAUACUGGUAGUCUUGAGUUAUAUGGAAGUAGAUAGAAUGUGUAGUGUAGCGGUGAAAUGCAUAGAUAUUACACAGAAUACCGAUUGCGAAGGCAGUCUACUACGUAUAUACUGACGCUAAGGGACGAAAGCGUGGGGAGCGAACAGGAUUAGAUACCCUAGUAGUCC